GCCUGGGUGGCUUAGUUGGUUAAGCGUCCGACUUUGACUCAGGUCAUGAUCUCACAGUUUGUGAGUUCGAUCCCUACAUCAGGUU
rnacentral:tRNA from 1 species